CAACCGACUGAGCCACCCAGGUGCCCCGACACGACCCUGCUUUUAAGUCUGCAGCGGGGCCCUUCACCCCAGCACGUCUCCAGGGCCCAUCUCAGCUGCCUGCAAGAAGGAGGAGGGAACAUCACAAGAAGGUGGAGAAUUUCUCAGGAACCCAGAGAGCCAAAGAACACUGCCUCCUUUCUCCUCGCCCCUCCUAGGGACUCAGAGCCCAGCUCAGAGUAAGGGGGUGGGGGGAGAAGACCAGGAUUGGAGCUGAGACCUGGGUCCUUUGGUUUUCUGGGUCCUGCUCCUGUCCUCUAAGAGGAAGAGUGAUUCAA